GAUGAACGCUGGCGGCGUGCCUAAUACAUGCAAGUCGAGCGAACGGACGAGAAGCUUGCUUCUCUGAUGUUAGCGGCGGACGGGUGAGUAACACGUGGAUAACCUACCUAUAAGACUGGGAUAACUUCGGGAAACCGUAGCUAAUACCGGACAAUAUUUUGAACCGCAUGGUUCGAAAGUGAAAGACGGUCUUGCUGUCACUUAUAGAUGGAUCCGCGCUGCAUUAGCUAGUUGGUAAGGUAACGGCUUACCAAGGCAACGAUGCAUAGCCGACCUGAGAGGGUGAUCGGCCACACUGGAACUGAGACACGGUCCAGACUCCUACGGGAGGCAGCAGUAGGGAAUCUUCCGCAAUGGGCGAAAGCCUGACGGAGCAACGCCGCGUGAGUGAUGAAGGUCUUCGGAUCGUAAAACUCUGUUAUUAGGGAAGAACAUAUGUGUAAGUAACUGUGCACAUCUUGACGGUACCUAAUCAGAAAGCCACGGCUAACUACGUG
rnacentral:rRNA from 1 species